rfam:Asian citrus Psyllid, Diaphorina citri - Florida Strain, whole genome shotgun sequence.
UGAAGUGGACUGUACUCGAGGACACCAGUAACCAGUUCCCGAUGGAUCACUGAAGUUAAGCAACGUUGCGCGUGGUUAGUAUCCGGAUGGGUGACCAUCUGGGCAAUCGCGUACUGCUGGCU